UACGGGGGGGGGCAAGCGUUGUUCGGAAUUACUGGGCGUAAAGGGCUCGUAGGCGGCCAACUAAGUCACACGUGAAAUCCCUCGGCUCAACCGGGGAACUGCGUGUGAGACUGGAUGGCUUGAGUUUGGGAGAGGGAUGCGGAAUUCCAGGUGUAGCGGUGAAAUGCGUAGAUAUCUGGAGGAACACCGGUGGCGAAGGCGGCAUCCUGGACCAAUACUGACGCUGAGGAGCGAAAGCUAGGGGAGCAAACAGG
rnacentral:rRNA from 1 species